CCUACGGGAGGCAGCAGUGAGGAAUAUUGGUCAAUGGCCGGAAGGCUGAACCAGCCAUGCCGCGUGAAGGUCAGUGCCCUAUGGGCGUUAAACUUCUUUUGUGCGGGAGCAAUAAUGGUCACGUGUGGCCAGACGAGAGUACCGUACGAAUAAGCAUCGGCUAACUCCGUGCCAGCAGCCGCGGUAAUACGGGGGAUGCAAGCGUUAUCCGGAUUUAUUGGGUUUAAAGGGUGCGUAGGCUGUGAGGUAAGUCAGCGGUGAAAUGCCCCCGCGCAACGGGGUGAAGUGCCAUUGAUACUGCCUGGCUGGAGUGCGGAUGCGGUGGGAGGAAUGUGUGGUGUAGCGGUGAAAUGCAUAGAUAUCACACAGAACACCGAUUGCGAAGGCAUCUCACGAAUCCGCGAUUGACGCUGAUGCACGAAAGCGUGGGUAUCAAACAGGAUUAGAUACCCUAGUAGUC
rnacentral:rRNA from 1 species